rnacentral:rRNA from 1 species
GACGAACGCUGGCGGCGUGCCUAAUACAUGCAAGUCGAGCGAAGUUUUUCUGGUGCUUGCGCUAGAAAAACUUAGCGGCGAACGGGUGAGUAACACGUAAAGAACCUGCCUCAUAGACUGGGACAACUAUUGGAAACGAUAGCUAAUACCGGAUAACAGCAUUAACUGCAUGGUUGAUGUUUAAAAGUUGGUUUUGCUAACACUAUGAGAUGGCUUUGCGGUGCAUUAGCUAGUUGGUGGGGUAAAGGCCUACCAAGGCGACGAUGCAUAGCCGACCUGAGAGGGUGAUCGGCCACACUGGGACUGAGACACGGCCCAGACUCCUACGGGAGGCAGCAGUAGGGAAUCUUCCGCAAUGGGCGAAAGCCUGACGGAGCAACGCCGCGUGAGUGAAGAAGGAUUUCGGUUCGUAAAGCUCUGUUGUUAGGGAAGAAUGAUUGUGUAGUAACUAUACACAGUAGAGACGGUACCUAACCAGAAAGCCACGGCUAACUACGUGCCAGCAGCCGCGGUAAUACGUAGGUGGCAAGCGUUGUCCGGAAUUAUUGGGCGUAAAGCGCGCGCAGGUGGUUUAAUAAGUCUGAUGUGAAAGCCCACGGCUCAACCGUGGAGGGUCAUUGGAAACUGUUAAACUUGAGUGCAGGAGAGAAAAGUGGAAUUCCUAGUGUAGCGGUGAAAUGCGUAGAGAUUAGGAGGAACACCAGUGGCGAAGGCGGCUUUUUGGCCUGUAACUGACACUGAGGCGCGAAAGCGUGGGGAGCAAACAGG